ACCAGAUCAACCAGCUGAACCAUCUCGGUUAACCAUUCAGACCAGUUCUGUAUGCCCUGAAGGCCUUGUUUGGGAUCGUUCAGCAGUCCUUUUCUUGAGUCUUUUCUUCUAUUGACUCAUCCGCUGUUACUUGAGUCAUUCUUGAAUUGUUAUCAAGAAUCAUUUGUGACUCGUUUAUGCCUUCACGUGCAUGAUCUGGCUGCAUGUGAGUGGCGAUUUCAGGGUCUAAUAUACAUUAAUGGCCCCUUCCCAAACAGUUCAAACUUUUGGGAUCUCAUGGAUGGACAAAGCCCAUCUUGGAAGUAAUACAUUGGAUGAUCAGUACCACUAAUGCGGUUACUGAAGGGUCUUGCAAGUUCACAUUAGUACUUUUUAGGAGCAAAUGAGCAAUCAUGGCUCGUGUCACAUUAUUAUUAUGUUUGAAAAAAAAAAGCCUCAACUCCAUGGGUUGACAUUGUUACUUUCUGAAACUACAUCUAGCUGUUGCCUUGAAAUUUUUCAUCACCUUCUAAAUCUGUGGCUGUUAUCCUGUCGUACUGUUUCUGUUCCACAAUUUAUUGCAUCCUGCAGGUUUGAGGACAUUCUGGAGGUGUAUGAAACUGAAUGGACAUCCAGGUAAGAAUUAUGAACAUCAUUUCAUUGAUGGCACAGUUGACUAUGCACUUGGGAGUGAAGGUGAUCAUGUGUUGGCUUGCAAGAACUGUAGUUGAGAUGUACAUACUACAGAGGAAUUUUUCAGCUCAAGAUCUGGUGGCUAGUCUGAAAAAUCCUAGACUUCAAGUUUCUCUUCAACUCUAACGCUACAAGAACAGAAUUGGGUCCAAUCCUACAGGGUGAAGAACAAGAGGCAGUAUAAUCUGGCUGCAUAAAAGGCACUAUAAUGUGGAGAAGAAUCCAGUAGCCAAAAUGUAGCUGUCCUGCAUAGAAGUCCAAUACUAAUUUGGCAAUAAGAGGCACUAUCAUCUGUAUUGGCCUUGUAGAAUUAUGGGAAGAUGCCCACGGUGUGCUAGGGAAUGAGAUUUUUAUGGAAUCAAACUCAGUGUUUAGUCCAAAGAUUUGGACCAUCAUAUGGAAUCUUUAUAUUGGAGAUGAGUUGAUGUCCUAUGCAUUGUCUAAGCUUCGCUGUACCAGUACCAUCACAGUAAUGCAAAUCCUAGCGGCGCUGGCGAUUUCAUCUCUGCAUCUAGUUUUUCCAAUUGUUAUAUACAAUAGCAAACAAAUGCACAAGCACAACUCCAGAGGAACCUUGGGUUAAGGAAUUCUAGCUGGAGGAGCCCAGAUAGGACAAUCAGGAUUUUAAAACUAAAAUGCCUGCCUUGACUGCAUUUUAAAGGAUGGACAAAGCCCAUAUCAAGGGGAAUACAUUUUUUUUUUAAAUGGUGAUCAGUACCGAGCAACUCAUGCAGUUAUCAAAGGGUUUUAGGACAUUCCUGGGGAUGUAUGAGACUGAAUGAAAAUCCAUGUUAAAGGGUGCAUAAAUCUGGUGAUUUGUCUUCAAUUGGUUGGCGUCAUUGGCACAUACAAAUAUUUAUAGUUUUCUCCUGGCACAUGAUAUUUAACAUGUACAAAUUAUGAAUAUUGUCUCAUUGAAGAGAUGGUUGUAUAUGCACUUGAGUUAAGCUGGUCUUGUAUUGGUUCACAAGAACUACGAUUGAGAUGUAUGUACUGCAGAGGCAUUUCUUGGCUCAAGAUUUGGACUCUUGCACCACUUAUCUUAGCGGGCAUCUUAGGUAUUCAUAUUUUUUUAUCACCAUAAGUACAUAAUAUGUGAAAAGCUGACUCCAAAUAGCUGGGACAAGGCUAGAUGGUAGGGUAUUAUUUGUGCGAAAACAUCCAUGAACUAACUCUCAGUGCAUAGAUCCUUUUGCCUUGAAGGGUUUGGUUCCAGCAUAUGGUAAGAUCAGCAAUGGCCAUAUGACUAUUUUCAUUGGAUUCACUCCAUGUUUACCAUAAAUGAAAAAUCAGGUGAACACAAACUGUACCAAAUGAAUGUGAUUGGCAUAGCUAAUGCUAUCACACAAAUAUCACCAGAACAGUAGUCACCACCAUGACAAUCUCCAGUGUCUAGGUAUCUUUGUUCUCAAGUUUGUUUGCUUCAUGACUGAUCUUCUUUACAGAUCUUGCUGGUAAGAUCCAAUGUUUCACUUGAACAGAAAAUAGAGCAAAAGUGCGGAGGGUGAGCCUUGGGACAGUGGUACGGUUACUCCAUUGCAUCCUUGACGUCAUAGAUUCGAAACACAGAAAUCACCUCUCUGCAUAUUGUGUAGGUUUCCCAUGUGGCAGGGAAUUAGAAGGCAUAAGACUAUAUGGCUGAGAGUAAGCAUCAAAACUUAGUCCAAAUUUCAACAAAUUGGGGCAUAUAUUUUCAAUCGUACCAGAAUGGUUCCCGAGAGAGUUUAUAGGUGUCAGCUUGCAGUAUCUGGUGGUUUCUUUGCAUAGAGGGUUUGUGUCAUCUCUUUUGAGCCCCUAUAAAGAGUGAGUAAUCAUGAUCAAUAUCUGGCAUGUUCAGUAUUACAUAAUACUCUUAUUAUAUAAGGAUGAAUUACAUGCAUAAUGCAUGUAGGAGUGUAAAUGGGUUGAGCUCGAGCGAGCUAGAGCUAGCUCAAGUUCGGCUUGCUUUGUAAUCAAGCUGAAUGUAAGCUAUUUACAACCAAUUUGUUUAAGAACGUAAAGAAAGCUGAAGGUUAUUCAAGGUUCUCAUUUGUAUUUUUUAA